rnacentral:tRNA from 1 species
UCCUGUGGUCUAGUGGUUAAGAUUAGUGGUUUUCGUCCACGAAGCCUGGGAUCGAUUCCCGGCAUGGGAA